AGUGAACGCUGGCGGUAGGCCUAACACAUGCAAGUCGAACGGCAGCACAGUAAGAGCUUGCUCUUACGGGUGGCGAGUGGCGGACGGGUGAGGAAUACAUCGGAAUCUACUUUUUCGUGGGGGAUAACGUAGGGAAACUUACGCUAAUACCGCAUACGACCUACGGGUGAAAGCAGGGGAUCUUCGGACCUUGCGCGAUUGAAUGAGCCGAUGUCGGAUUAGCUAGUUGGCGGGGUAAAGGCCCACCAAGGCGACGAUCCGUAGCUGGUCUGAGAGGAUGGUAGGCCACCCUGGAACUGAGACACGGUCCAGACUCCUACGGGAGGCAGCAGUGGGGAAUAUUGGACAAUGGGCGCGAGCCUGAUCCAGCCAUACCGCGUGGGUGAAGAAGGCCUUCGGGUUGUAAAGCCCUUUUGUUGGGAAAGAAAAGCAGCAGGUUAAUACCCCGCUGUUCUGACGGUACCCAAAGAAUAAGCACCGGCUAACUUCGUG
rnacentral:rRNA from 1 species